CCGCUAGAGGAGGCCAUUACGAUCACACUCUAGGGAUCUCAUAGUGAGAGGCUCAGGAAGUGGAGAAAGGAAACAGGGAAAAGUGAAGGACUUCAAGCUGUUGUCCAAUUUGUUGCUUUCUCUGAGUUGGCGCCCAAACCCUUUCAGGGUGCUUUACGUCCCACCCAAGGCAAGAGGAACGCCAGCGAGGAAGACAAAGAGGCCCGGGGUGGGGCGCAUGCCCUCCACUGGUCUGAAAGCUGAGUCACAGGAAUCGUACCCCUGCAGCCGGCCAGCCUGUCCAGCGAGAGACCCCGCGCCCUUGUGUGGAGAUGUCCACAGUAGACAAAGGCAGUUUCGCAAUAAAAGAAUGCCUGUCACCCUAGGUGCCACCCCGACCCUUAGUUAUUAUGCACUGGUCCCCAAGAGCAAUUUUUGCGCUGCUGUUGCAAAAAUUCAUCGUAAUGAAAUAAACGUAA